GUUCAAAAGUGAGUAGUUUAGGAGGGUCCUAUGUUCAAAAGUUUGCUGGUGUGUAUCUUUGUUGGCUCAACAUGUUUUUAAUUUAUGAUUGUUGUUGGUGGAGAGAGCGGAAGAUGCCGGGGACAGUUUGGAGAAGAUCAAGCGGCAGCUGGCCUCUGGGUCUGGUCGGAAUUUGUUGCAGGGUCCCCUUCUAAAGCGAUCUGAAACAGACAAGACUUUUAGGUAAAGCAAAUCCUGGUUUUCCAAUGUCAAAAGGCCUUGGCCGCUUGCAGAAUAGUGACCUUGAAGAAUUAAGAGAAUUGGGGUCCGGCACCUUUGGCACUUUUUACCAUGGAAAAUGGAGGGGACUGAUGUUGCUAUAAAACGAAUCAAUGAGAGGUGUUUUGCUGGGAAACCUUCUAAACAAGAUCGCAAGUGAGAAGAUUUUUAGAAUGAAGCAAUUAAGUUUGCUGAUUUGCACCACCCAAAUGUGGUACUUUUUAUGGUGUCGUGCUUGAUGGGCCUGGGAGAUCUGUGGCCACAGUAACAGAAUAUAUGGCCAAUGGUUCGCUCAAAAAUGCUUUGUUGAAGAAUGAAAAGAGUCUUGAAAAGUGGAAGCGCCUCUUGAUUGCUAUGGAUGCGGCUUUUAGAAUGGAACACCUGCACAGAAAGAAUAUUGUGCACUUUGAUUUUGAAAGUGAU